UACAUGGGGUGCAAACGUUGCUCGGAAUUAUUGGGCGUAAAGCGCGCGUAGGCGGUUACUCAAGUCGGAUGUGAAAGCCCUCGGCUUAACUGAGGAAGUGCACCCGAAACUGAGUAGCUAGAGUACUAAAGAGGGUCGCGGAAUUCCCGGUGUAGAGGUGAAAUUCGUAGAUAUCGGGAGGAACACCGGGUGGCGAAGGGCGGCGACCUGGGUAGAUACUGACGCUGAGGCGGCGAAAAGCGU
rnacentral:rRNA from 1 species